AUUGAACGCUGGCGGCAGGCCUAACACAUGCAAGUCGAACGAGUGGCGGACGUGUGAGUAAUGUCUGGGAAACUGCCUGAUGGAGGGGGAUAACUACUAGAAACGGUAGCUAAUACCGCAUACCAUCAGAUGUGCCAAGAGGGGAUUAGCGAGUUGGUGGGGUGACGGCUCACCAAGGCGACGAUCCUUAGCUGGUCUGAGAGGAGGACCAGCCACACUGGAACUGAGACACGUUCCAGACUCCUACGGGAGGCAGCAGUGGGGAAUAUUGCACAAUGGGCGCAAGCCUGAUGCAGCCAUGCCGCGUGUAUGAAGAAGGCCUUCGGGUUGUAAAGUACUUUCAGCGGGGAGGCGUUACCCGCAGAAGAAGCACCGGCUAACUCCGUGCCAGCAGCCGCGGUAAUUC
rnacentral:rRNA from 1 species